AUUGAACGCUGGCGGCAGGCCUAACACAUGCAAGUCGAACGGUAACAGGAAGAAGCUUGCUUCUUUGCUGACGAGUGGCGGACGGGUGAGUAAUGUCUGGGAAACUGCCUGAUGGAGGGGGAUAACUACUGGAAACGGUAGCUAAUACCGCAUAGCGUCGCAAGACCAAAAAGGGGGACCUUCGGGCCUCUUGCCAUCGGAUGUGCCCAGAUGGGAUUAGCUAGUAGGUGGGGUAACGGCUCACCUAGGCGACGAUCCCUAGCUGGUCUGAGAGGAUGACCAGCCACACUGGAACUGAGACACGGUCCAGACUCCUACGGGAGGCAGCAGUGGGGAAUAUUGCACAAUGGGCGCAAGCCUGAUGCAGCCAUGCCGCGUGUAUGAAGAAGGCCUUCGGGUUGUAAAGUACUUUCAGCGGGGAGGAAGGGAGUAAAGUUAAUACCUUUGCUCAUUGACGUUACCCGCAGAAGAAGCACCGGCUAACUCCGUG
rnacentral:rRNA from 1 species